GAUGCAAGAAAGUCCAUAAUGGGCCUGGCACAAGGGAAGCCUUCAGCAUGUGUGUUUGUUAUUACUAAUAUGGCACAACUAGUUAGUCUCCUGAAAUCAGUCAUCUCAAAAUAGCAAUCACUUACUUUCAACAGAGUAAAUAUUUUUCCUCAUCUGCAUCAUUUCAAGCCUUCCCUCUUUAAUUUUACAGUUGCAUUUACAAAGGAGUUAUUUACAGUGCAAAGGGACAAGAUGGGCUGCCUCCUUGAAAUGGUUUCACAAAUUUCCUCUGCUUCCUGUUAAGAUAUUAGCGCCCAGUAAUUGUCGCUCUAUAUAAAUGUGGAGCGUCGGCUGCGAAUGUGCGCCCUGUAGUAAUUGUGAGUUGUCUUGACGCUAAUUACAUAGGGGAGCCUGUUUAAUUGCCAGUUAAAUUGACUGUGUGUGUUUUCUCUAAUCUGUGUUUCCGGGCAAGUUGGAUGGCAUCCGCUCCUCGUUGGACUAAGCAUGAAUUUGGAAGACCCCAAGAGGCUGCUGCAGGAGAAAAUGCUAGCUGAGUCCUCUGGAGUAGUCAUAUCUGGAGAGGUGGCUGGAAUUGGAGGCAGUAGGAGGGGCUGUGACACACCGAGACAUCAGGCUGUUUACCGUUUUGCCAAGGGAUCACAGCCGCCUUUCCUAGAGAAAGAACACCAGUGAUGUCCCCAGCCAGCCUCCGCUCCAGGAGGACCUGCAGGGUCUCCAGGGAACACAGCACUUGUGUAAAUAUGGCUUAAAUUUCUUUUUGCAUUGAGCAGCCUAAGCAUUAAAAUUCAUUGUUCUGGAC
rnacentral:lncRNA from 1 species